CAAUCGGCCCUUUUCAGGGCCUACAAAUGUGUUUUAAAGAGUUGAUU
rfam:Aedes aegypti strain Liverpool supercont1.420 genomic scaffold, whole genome shotgun sequence.